GAACGCUGCGCACACUUGUCUCCAGCGGUCUGUGCGUCGGUAAAAGGAACAGGCCGACCGCCACAGCAGUGAGGCGCCUGUUUUCUCUCCAGGCGACCGGGUCUGGCUCUCCAUCUGGAACCUGCCCCUCUGCCUGCCUUGCCGGAAGCUGAGCCCACGGCCAGCGGUGCCUGGUCCCCUCGCUGAGGCUGGUCCAGUGAUUCCCCGCUUCCUCUGGACAUCGAGGGAGGUCCUGCGUGCCGGGUCCAUGAGGUCCUGGAUUCGAGGCGUCGGGUGGGCCGUCUCCAGUACCUCAUCGACUGGGAGGGGUAGGGCCCAGAGGAGUGGUGCUGAGUUCCUGCGGUGGACAUCCUGGACGCUUCGCUGACCAGGGAUUUUCCGACCUGCACUGCGUCCCUGUGGUCAUCCCCGAGGCUGGUGCAGCACGUCGGGCGGGGGGUAUUGUCACGGAUUCCCCCGGGACUGCUGCUCAUUCCAUUCACCAGCUCCGGAGGUCUGCGUCACUGGCCUUCUAGGUGACGCUGAACUAGAUCAUUACCACCAACCCCGGACUGUCUGGUCUCAUUAUGCACACCUGGUUCCCAUUCCCCCUGAUUAGUAUAUGUGCCCUCUGUUCCCCAUUGUCCUUGAUGAUUAUUGUUCCAUGUCCGUUGGUCUUGUGAUUACCUGUGCUCUGUUGUAUCGGCUUUCGUGUUACCCUGUUAGUGUGUUCUUGUUAUUACGGGUCUCGUCCCGUGUAUUGUUAUUCCUGUGUAUUUAUUAGAGGUUUACAACUCACUCUUUGUUUGGGAUACAACCCUGUGUUAUUUAUAUACACGUGUUUGUUUUUGGGCUUCGUUCCUGUCAUGUUCAUGACGUACUCUAUUCUGGGUAAAUUUCGUAUACCUGCACCUGUCUCCUAUCAUUAUGCAAUGUGACAAUGGCAAUCCUCAUUACGCACACCUGAGCCCCAUCCUGAAGCACACCUGGACUUCAACACUGCCCAGAUUACUAUCUCUUUAUCUGGCGUUCCGUGGCAACAAUCUUCAGGCAAUAUUGUAUCUGUGUUCAUGUUCAGUCAUUUCUCUUGUUUUGUAUCGCUCUAUGUUCAGUAUUAUUAUUCAACUCUGCUUCUUUACUCUCAUCGUCAUAGCUACAACCUUGUAGUAUUAUGUUCUUUCAAUUAGUAGUACUACCAACAAUACGAUGGGCAAUAUUUUUGUCUGGUACAAAGCGCCAAAAAUACUGCAAACCUCAGACUCAGGGAUUUUAUUUACAAUUUUUGUUCAACAAUUUCCCUUAAAAUUAGACAAUUAUUUAAGUAGAGUUUAAAAACCUGAGCAAUACAUAAAUAGUUUCCUCUUUAUAAUGCACAUUGUUGCACAAGUUCUAAAUUUAAUGGUAAUAAUAUCAAUAAACUAUCUGUUGAUAAAUAACAGACAGUUAGGUUCAGAGUAAGCGUUAAGGUUAGGGUCAAGUUUAUGGCUAGGUUAAGGAUAGGUUUAGUACUGUAGAUAGUUAGUUGAAAUGUUACUGGUAGUCUGUAAUGCAUCUAUCCAAAUGAAAUCGUACAGAGAUUACAAUGAGGUUUACUGAAUUUUUUGCACGUUGUACAAUGAUUUUGCAUCUUAUACCACCACUGUUGUUGUAACAUCUUAUCAGAUUACAAUGAUCUGAUGGUUGAACUUACCAGACUGGAGCACGAUAGAGGUAGUUUUGUAUUGUUCAGCUUUAGGACAUGUGUUUUUCAGGCUGAUAAAAUCUACUUAUACCUUGUCA